rnacentral:rRNA from 1 species
UACGGAGGGUGCGAGCGUUGUCCGGAAUCAUUGGGCGUAAAGGGCGCGUAGGUGGCCACUUCAAGCGUGCGGUGAAAGUCGGGGGCUCAACCCCUGAUCGGCCGUGCGAACUGGGGGGCUGGAGCACUGUAGAGGCAGGCGGAAUUCCGGGUGUGAGCGGUGGAAUGCGCAGAUAUCAGGAGGAACACCGAUGGCGAAGGCAGGUCACUGGGCCGCAACUGACGCUGAGGAGCGAAAGCAUGGGGAGCGAACAGG